GAUGAACGCUGGCGGCGUGCUUAACACAUGCGAGUCGAACGGAUAGGCUCCUGCUUGCAGGGGUACUCGAGUGGCGAACGGGUGAGUAACACGUGGGUGAUCUGCCCUGCACUUCGGGAUAAGCCUGGGAAACUGGGUCUAAUACCGGAUAGGACGAUGGUUUGGAUGCCAUUGUGGAAAGUUUUUCGGUGUGGGAUGAGCUCGCGGCCUAUCAGCUUGUUGGUGGGGUAAUGGCCUACCAAGGCGUCGACGGGUAGCCGGCCUGAGAGGGUGUACGGCCACAUUGGGACUGAGAUACGGCCCAGACUCCUACGGGAGGCAGCAGUGGGGAAUAUUGCACAAUGGGCGCAAGCCUGAUGCAGCGACGCCGCGUGGGGGAUGACGGCCUUCGGGUUGUAAACUCCUUUCGCUAGGGACGAAGCGCAAGUGACGGUACCUGGAGAAGAAGCACCGGCUAACUACGUG
rnacentral:rRNA from 1 species